CACGGAGCUACGGGGUUCCGAGUGCUGUCGCUGAAGAUAGCUUUUCUCCGGUCUAAGGCGCCGGUCGAAUAAGGGGAGGGCAAGCCUGGUGUCAGCCGCCGCGGUAAUACCAGCUCCCCGAGUGGUGGGGGUAAUUAUUGGGCCUAAAGCGUCCGUAGCUGGCUUAGCAAGUCUCUUGUUAAAUCCAACGAUCCAAUCGUUGGACUGCAGGAGAUACUGUUAGGCUAGGGGGCGGAAGAAGCCGACGGUACUCCUGAGGUAGGGGUGAAAUCCUAUAAUCCCAGGAGGACCACCAGUGGCGAAGGCGGUCGGCUAGAACGCGCUCGACGGUGAGGGACGAAAGCUGGGGGAGCGAUCCGGAUUAGAUACCCGGGUAGUCCCAGCUGUAAACUAUGCAGGCUAGGUGUUGGCGUGACCACGAGUCACGCCAGUGCCGCAGGGAAGCUGUUAAGCCUGCCGCCUGGGGAGUACGGUCGCAAGACUGAAACUUAAAGGAAUUGGCGGGGGAGCACCACAAGGGGUGAAGCUUGCGGUUCAAUUGGAGUCAACACCGGGAACCUUACCGGGGAAGACAGCAGGUUGAAGGCCAGAUUAAAGGUCUUGCCAGACAAGCUGAGAGGAGGUGCAUGGCCGUCGCCAGUUCGUGCCGUGAGGUGUCCUGUUAAGUCAGGCAACGAUUCGAGACCCAACGCCUCUUGUUGCCAAGCGUAACUUCGGAAGAAGACCGGGCACACUAGAGGGACGCCGCCGAUAAGCGGAGGAAGGAGUGGGCCACGGCAGGUCAGUAUGCCCCGAAUUCCCCUGGGCUACACGCGAGCUGCAAUGGUAGGGACAAUGGGUUCCGACCUCGAAAGGGGAAGGUAAUCUCUAAACCCUACCUCAGUCGGGAUCGAGGGCUAAACUCGCCCUCGGACAUGAAUCCCUAUAACCGCGUGCAGCGCGCUGUAUCGCUCC
rnacentral:rRNA from 1 species